rnacentral:rRNA from 1 species
UACGGAGGGAGCUAGCGUUAUUCGGAGUUACUGGGCGUAAAGCGCACGUAGGCGGCUUUGUAAGUUAGAGGUGAAAGCCUGGAGCUCAACUCCAGAAUUGCCUUUAAGACUGCAUCGCUUGAAUCCAGGAGAGGUGAGUGGAAUUCCGAGUGUAGAGGUGAAAUUCGUAGAUAUUCGGAAGAACACCAGUGGCGAAGGCGGCUCACUGGACUGGUAUUGACGCUGAGGUGCGAAAGCGUGGGGAGCAAACAGG